rnacentral:rRNA from 1 species
AUUGAACGCUGGCGGCAGGCUUAACACAUGCAAGUCGAGCGAGCGGCGGACGGGUGAGUAAUGUCUGGGAAACUGCCUGAUGGAGGGGGAUAACUACUGGAAACGGUAGCUAAUACCGCAUCCCAUCAGCUGUGCCCGGAUGGGUUUUGCUAGUAGGUGGGGUAAUGGCUCACCUAGGCUACGAUCCCUAACUGGUCUGAGAGGAUGACCAGCCACCCUGGAACUGAGACACGGUCCAGACUCCUACGGGAGGCAGCAGUGGGGAAUAUUGCACAAUGGGCGCAAGCCUGAUGCAGCCAUGCCGCGUGUGUGAAGAAGGCCUUCGGGUUGUAAAGCACUUUCAGCGGGGAGGCGUUACGCGCAGAAGAAGCACCGGCUAACUCCGUGCCAGCAGCCGCGGUAAUAG